GUGGUGGCAACAUCAUGCUGCUGGGGAGAGGCUUUUCUUCAGCAGGAACAGGGAAGCUGAUCAGAGAUUAGAGAAAGAUGGAGUGCGAAAUGCAGAAAGUCAUCAUCAGUGUUUUGCUAUGAGCCAUGUUGGGGACCCAGUGGAAGAAGAUGCUCUGUGAGAAUCCACAAGCUCUUUCCAGAGAUUGGUUGCCAAGGAGAGACCCAGAAGGGAGGUAUUCAACAACAUAUAUUAAACAAACCCUAACUGUUACUCUCAGCCACCAGACUUCAGUGAUUAAACACAAAAUUAGUCUCAUUAAUUGUUCUGCUGCUGUCUAUUUUAUACACCCCUACUUUGCAUUACUGUGGAACUGUUGUGUUUUAAUAUAGCAAUCAAUUAAGUUUAAACUCAUAUUUACAUAUAACUCACACCAGUAACUGAAGGAACUCUGCUUCAUUUAAUUUAUUGAGUCUUGCGGCAAUGAUACCAACAAAAUAACUGCACUGUGAAGACUGACUAUAGCUGUAAAAAUAAAAAUGGCAGAGCCCUAAAUAUGCAUCUUAUUUAUUUUACCAAAUGCACUCCUGAUCAAAAACUUAAGACCAGUUACC